rnacentral:rRNA from 1 species
AUAAGCACCGGCUAACUACGUGCCAGCAGCCGCGGUAAUACGUAGGGUGCAAGCGUUAUCCGGAAUUAUUGGGCGUAAAGGGCUCGUAGGCGGUUCGUCGCGUCCGGUGUGAAAGUCCAUCGCUUAACGGUGGAUCCGCGCCGGGUACGGGCGGGCUUGAGUGCGGUAGGGGAGACUGGAAUUCCCGGUGUAACGGUGGAAUGUGUAGAUAUCGGGAAGAACACCAAUGGCGAAGGCAGGUCUCUGGGCCGUCACUGACGCUGAGGAGCGAAAGCGUGGGGAGCGAACAGGAUUAGAUACCCUGGUAGUCCACGCCGUAAACGGUGGAUGCUGGAUGUGGGGACCAUUCCACGGUCUCCGUGUCGGAGCCAACGCGUUAAGCAUCCCGCCUGGGGAGUACGGCCGCAAGGCUAAAACUCAAAGAAAUUGACGGGGGCCCGCACAAGCGGCGGAGCAUGCGGAUUAAUUCGAUGCAACGCGAAGAACCUUACCUGGGCUUGACAUGUUCCCGACAGCCCCAGAGAUGGGGCCUCCCUUCGGGGCGGGUUCACAGGUGGUGCAUGGUCGUCGUCAGCUCGUGUCGUGAGAUGUUGGGUUAAGUCCCGCAACGAGCGCAACCCUCGCCCUGUGUUGCCAGCACGUCGUGGUGGGAACUCACGGGGGACCGCCGGGGUCAACUCGGAGGAAGGUGGGGAUGACGUCAGAUCAUCAUGCCCCUUACGUCCAGGGCUUCACGCAUGCUACAAUGGCCGGUACAACGGGAUGCGACCUCGUGAGGGGGAGCGGAUCCCUUAAAACCGGUCUCAGUUCGGAUUGGAGUCUGCAACCCGACUCCAUGAAGGCGGAGUCGCUAGUAAUCGCGGAUCAGCAACGCCGCGGUGAAUGCGUUCCCGGGCCUUGUACACACCGCCCGUCAAGUCAUGAAAGUGGGUAGCACCCGAAGCCGGUGGCCCAACCUUUUUGGGGGGAGCCGUCUAAGGUGAGACUCGUGAUUGGGACUAAGUCGUAACAAGGUAGCCGUACCGGAAGGUGCGGCUG